rnacentral:rRNA from 1 species
CAGUAGCCGCGGUAAUACGAAGGGUGCAAGCGUUACUCGGAAUUACUGGGCGUAAAGCGUGCGUAGGUGGUGGUUUAAGUCCGUUGUGAAAGCCCUGGGCUCAACCUGGGAAUUGCAGUGGAUACUGGGUCGCUAGAGUGUGGUAGAGGAUAGUGGAAUUUCCGGUGUAGCAGUGAAAUGCGUAGAGAUCGGAAGGAACAUCUGUGGCGAAGGCGACUAUCUGGGCCAACACUGACACUGAGGCACGAAAGCGUGGGGAGCAAACAGGAUUAGAUACCCGCGUAGUCCCUGUCUCUUAUAC